AACGCGAAGAACCUUACCUGGUCUUGACAUCCACAGAACUUUCCAGAGAUGGAUAGGUGCCUUCGGGAACUGUGAGACAGGUGCUGCAUGGCUGUCGUCAGCUCGUGUUGUGAAAUGUUGGGUUAAGUCCCGCAACGAGCGCAACCCUUAUCCUUUGUUGCCAGCGGUUCGGUCGGGAACUCAAAGGAGACUGCCAGUGAUAAACUGGAGGAAGGUGGGGAUGACGUCAAGUCAUCAUGGCCCUUACGAGUAGGGCUACACACGUGCUACAAUGGCAUAUACAAAGAGAAGCGACCUCGCGAGAGCAAGCGGACCUCAUAAAGUAUGUCGUAGUCCGGAUUGGAGUCUGCAACUCGACUCCAUGAAGUCGGAAUCGCUAGUAAUCGUGGAUCAGAAUGCCACGGUGAAUACGUUCCCGGGUCUUGUACACACCG
rnacentral:rRNA from 1 species